UUAAAUCUAAAAACCAAAUCAAUCCAUGUAAAGUCGUUUUUUUCGGUUUUGGCUUUAGUCGGUUCUUUCGAUUUUUUACAACUAUACGGUGUUUGAAAAAAUGAUCACUUAUCUGUGUGAUAAACUAAAGUUAAAAAUUGUUAAGUGCUGAUGUUCAUUGCAGACAGUACCUGAUUCAAGAAGGCAAAAAUUCAUGGUUGAACUUCAAAAGCUAGUUGCGAACUGGCCUUUGGAGAGUGACAAAAGGAUGAGAGGGAGGAAGAAGAUAGAGAUGGAAACCCUGAAGCAGUCGGAAGGUUUUGUUUGAAAUCUCAAAUACCUUUAUCUUCACACAGUUCAGGAUCUAUUUUGCUUUGGACAACAUGGAUAUCCCUGCAAUAAAAGGAGAAGUAGUAUGUUUUUACUCGACUGGGAGUCUGAACUUUUUAGCUGUAUUUAAAGAUGUGGGUUGUAUGUUAGGGGCAUCUUUCUAUGCUUUAUCUGUUGUUUUUUGUGGAAAUUGGAUCAGCAAAACUAAACAUCCCAAACAUGUUUAGCAGGAAUGUAGCAUUUUUUAUACUACUUUUGGAGUUAAGAUGACGUUCGUGCCUUGAACUA